CCUACGGGACGCACCAGUGGGGAAUAUUGCACAAUGGGCGCAAGCCUGAUGCAGCCAUGCCGCGUGUAUGGAGAAGGCCUCCGGGUUGUAAAGUACUUUCAGCGGGGAGGAAGGUGUUGUGGUUAAUACCCGCAGCAAUUGACGUUACCCGCAGAAGAAGCACCGGCUAACUCCGUGCCAGCAGCCGCGGUAAUACGGAGGGUGCAAGCGUUAAUCGGAAUUACUGGGCGUAAAGCGCACGCAGGCGGUCUGUCAAGUCGGAUGUGAAAUCCCCGGGCUCAACCUGGGAACUGCAUUCGAAACUGGCAGGCUAGAGUCUUGUAGAGGGGGGUAGAAUUCCAGGUGUAGCGGUGAAAUGCGUAGAGGUCUGGAGGAAUACCGGUGGCGAAGGCGGCCCCCUGGACAAAGACUGACGCUCAGGUGCGAAAGCGUGGGGAGCAAACAGGAUUAGAUACCCAGUAGUC
rnacentral:rRNA from 1 species